rnacentral:misc_RNA from 1 species
AAGUCGUAACAAGGUCUCCGCUGGUUCACCAACGGAGACCCAACAAACUCUUGAAUUUUCGUGGCCUCUCUGAGUCUUCUGUACUGAAUAAGUCAAAACUUUCAACAACGGAUCUCUUGGUUCUG